rnacentral:rRNA from 1 species
CAAUAGCGUAUAUUAAAGUUGUUGCAGUUAAAAAGCUCGUAGUUGGAUUUCUGAUCGAGACAUCAGGUCGGGUCCGAGAGGAUCAUGUACUUUGAUUUUGUUUUGAUCAUCCUUGGGGAGAGCAUUUCUGGCAUUCAGUUGUCGGGAUUGGGAUCCUCAUCGUUUACUGUGAAAAAAUUAGAGUGUUCAAAGCAGGCCUCGGCCUCUGAAUACAUUAGCAUGGAAUAAUAAGAUAGGACUUUGGUGGUCUAUUUUGUUGGUUUGCACGCCAAAGUAAUGAUUAAUAGGGAUAGUUGGGGGUAUUCGUAUUCAAUUGUCAGAGGUGAAAUUCUUGGAUUUAUGGAAGACGAACUACUGCAAAAGCAUUUACCAAGGAUGUUUUCAUUAA